GCCCCUAGCAAGAAUACAAGUAUUAGGGGUAAUGCCUGCCCAGUGACAUUGUUAAACGGCCGCGGUAUCCUAACCGUGCAAAGGUAGCGUAAUCACUUGUCUUUUAAAUAAAGACUAGAAUGAAUGGCCAAACGAGGUUACACCUGUCUCUUACAAACAAUCAGUGAAAUUGAUCUUCCUGUGCAAAAGCAGGAAUAAUAUUAUAAGACGAGAAGACCCUGUGGAACUUCAAAUACAAAAUCAACUACUACUAACACCAACCCAAUGGGCCUAUACUAAAAUAGUAUCUGAUUCUUAUUUUUGGUUGGGGCGACCUCGGAGUAAAACAAAACCUCCGAAAAAUAAAAAACUUUUUAAACCAAGAAUAACAGCUCAAAGUGCUCUCAGCAAAACGAUCCAAUAUAUUUGAUCAACGAACUAAGCUACCCCAGGGAUAACAGCGCAAUCCCAUUCUAGAGUCCCUAUCGACAAUGGGGUUUACGACCUCGAUGUUGGAUCAGGACAUCCUGAUGGUGUAGCCGCUAUCAAGGGUUCGUUUGUUCAACGAUUAAUAGUCCUACGUGA
rnacentral:rRNA from 1 species